GACGAACGCUGGCGGCGUGCUUAACACAUGCAAGUCGAACGAAGUGGCGAACGGGUGAGUAACGCGUAAUCAACCUGCCCUUCAGAGGGGGACAACAGUUGGAAACGACUGCUAAUACCGCAUACUGAAGGUGGGGAUUGCGUCUGAUUAGCUAGUUGGAGGGGUAACGGCCCACAAAGGCGAUGAUCAGUAGCCGGGCUGAGGGGGUGAACGGCCAAAUUGGGACGGAGACACGGCCCAGAAUCCUACGGGAGGCAGCAGGGGGGAAUCUGCCGCAAUGGACGAAAGUCUGACGGAGCAACGCCGCGUGAGUGAUGACGGCCUUCGGGUUGUAAAGUUCUGUUAAUCGGGACGCGGUACCGGAAUAGAAAGCCACGGCUAACUACGUGCCAGCAGCCGCGGUAAUUC
rnacentral:rRNA from 1 species